rnacentral:tRNA from 1 species
UGAUUUAAAGUGUUAAUUAAGCACGUUGAAAUUUGAAUUCAAAGGUAUUAUAUUUUAUAAUUAAAUCAU